AAUGAACGCUGGCGGUAUGCUUAACACAUGCAAGUCGAACGAUUUCACUUAGCUUGCUAAGUGCGAUAGUGGCAAACGGGUGAGUAACACGUAGGAAUCUACCUAGCAGUAUGGAAUAGCAGUUGGAAACGACUAUUAAUACCAUAUACGUCCUUCGGGAGAAAGAUUUAUCGCUGUUAGAUGAGCCUGCGUUGGAUUAGCUAGUUGGUGGGGUAAUGGCCUACCAAGGCAACGAUCCAUAGCUGUUCUGAGAGGAAGAUCAGCCACACUGGGACUGAGACACGGCCCAG
rnacentral:rRNA from 1 species